UACGAAGGGGGCUAGCGUUGUCCGGAAUCAUUGGGCGUAAAGCGCGUGUAGGCGGUCCGGUAAGUCCGUUGUGAAAACUGGAGGCUCAACCUCCAGACGUCGAUGGAAACCGUCUGGCUAGAGUCCGGAAGAGGAGAGUGGAAUUCCUGGUGUAGCGGUGAAAUGCGUAGAGAUCAUGAGGAAGACCAGUGGCGAAGGCGGGCCUCUGGACAGUUCCUGACACUGAGACACGAAGGCCAGGGGAGCAAACGGG
rnacentral:rRNA from 1 species